AGUGAACGCUGGCGGUAGGCCUAACACAUGCAAGUCGAACGGCAGCACAGUAAGAGCUUGCUCUUACGGGUGGCGAGUGGCGGACGGGUGAGGAAUACAUCGGAAUCUACUUUUUCGUGGGGGAUAACGUAGGGAAACUUACGCUAAUACCGCAUACGACCUACGGGUGAAAGCAGGGGAUCUUCGGACCUUGCGCGAUUGAAUGAGCCGAUGUCGGAUUAGCUAGUUGGCGGGGUAAAGGCCCACCAAGGCGACGAUCCGUAGCUGGUCGGAGAGGAUGAUCAGCCACACUGGAACUGAGACACGGUCCAGACUCCUACGGGAGGCAGCAGUGGGGAAUAUUGGACAAUGGGCGCAAGCCUGGUCCAGCCAUACCGCGUGGGUGAAGAAGGCCUUCGGGUUGUAAAGCCCUUUUGUUGGGAAAGAAAAGCAGCAGGUUAAUACCCCGCUGUUCUGACGGUACCCAAAGAAUAAGCACCGGCUAACUUCGUG
rnacentral:rRNA from 1 species